UCCUGAAGUUGUCCACUGGGUCAAAGAGGACCACUUUCUGCAAUGGAGGACUGUUCUUCAGUUAAGGGUUCAAGCAGUGGCUGAAGGCUCCUGCUAGAAUGUUCAAAGGAGCGCUCAAGGUGGGGUUCACUCUGUAACCCAGGCUGGCCUCAAAC
rnacentral:sRNA from 1 species